AAGCAGCUUGCUGCUUCGCUGACCCCCUGUAGACGGGUGAGUAAUGUCUGGGAAACUGCCUGAUGGAGGGGGAUAACUACUGGAAACGGUAGCUAAUACCGCAUCCCGUUGCAAGACCAAAGAGGGGGACCUUCGGGCCUCUUGCCAUCGGAUGUGCCCAGAUGGGAUUAGCUAGUAGGUGGGGUAACGGCUCACCUAGGCGACGAUCCCUAGCUGGUCUGAGAGGAUGACCAGCCACACUGGAACUGAGACACGGUCCAGACUCCUACGGGAGGCAGCAGUGGGGAAUAUUGCACAAUGGGCGCAAGCCUGAUGCAGCCAUGCCGCGUGUAUGAAGAAUGUCUUUUUUUUUGUAAAGUACUUUCAGCGG
rnacentral:rRNA from 1 species